rnacentral:rRNA from 1 species
UACGGAGGGAGCAAGCGUUACUCGGAAUUACUGGGCGUAAAGGGCGCGUAGGCGGCCUUCUAAGUCGGACGUGAAAUCCCCAGGCUUAACUUGGGAACUGCGUCCGAUACUGGAGGGCUUGAGUGCGGGAGAGGGAUGUGGAAUUCCAGGUGUAGCGGUGAAAUGCGUAGAUAUCUGGAGGAACACCGGUGGCGAAGGCGGCAUCCUGGACCGACACUGACGCUGAUGCGCGAAAGCCAGGGGGGCAAACGGG